CGAGCCCGGAGAUAGCUGGUUCUCCCCGAAAUAGCUUUAGGGCUAGCCUCAAGGUGAGAGAUACGGAGGUAGAGCACUGAAUGUCCUAGGGGGUAUUGCACCUACCGAAGACUAUCAAACUCCGAAUGCCGUCAUCUUAUACUUGGGAGUCAGACUGUGGGUGAUAAGAUUCAUAGUCGAAAGGGCAACAGCCCAGAUCGUCAGCUAAGGUCCCUAAAUGUAAGUUAAGUGGUAAAGGAUGUGGGAUUGCACAGACAACCAGGAUGUUGGCUUAGAAGCAGCCACUCAUUCAAAGAGUGCGUAAUAGCUCACUGGUCGAGUGAUCCUGCGCCGAAGAUUUCCGGGGCUAAAACUUACUACCGAAGCUACGGCAUCAGUAAUGAUGGGUAGGGGAGCUUCCCAUACGGGUUGAAGCAUGACCGUAAGGACAUUUGGACAGUAUGGGAGUGUGAAUGUUGGGGUGAGUAACGAGAUGUGGGUGAGAAUCCCACAAGCCCUACACCCAAGACUUCCAGGGGAAGGUUCGUCCGCCCAGGGGUAAUCGGUACCUAAGCUUAUGCCGAAAGGCGUAGGGGUGGUCCAUCAUGUUGAAAUUCCUGUUCUACCGAUAAGGGUGUGAGGGAAGGAAUUGAACAGUAGGCUAUGCUGAGCACCCUGUUGGUUAUGCUUGCCCAAGCAUCGGGUCAGGACCAGUGGGGAAGACCGCGUUGGGAAUGCGGGG
rnacentral:rRNA from 1 species